rnacentral:rRNA from 1 species
CCUAGGGGCGGCAGCAGUGGGGAAUAUUGGACAAUGGGCGAAAGCCUGAUCCAGCCAUGCCGCGUGUGUGAAGAAGGCCUUCGGGUUGUAAAGCACUUUCAGUGGGGAAGAAAGCCUUGGGGCUAAUACCCUCGAGGAAGGACAUCACCCACAGAAGAAGCACCGGCUAACUCCGUGCCAGCAGCCGCGGUAAUACGGAGGGUGCGAGCGUUAAUCGGAAUUACUGGGCGUAAAGCGCGCGUAGGCGGUCUGAUAAGCCGGUUGUGAAAGCCCCGGGCUCAACCUGGGAACGGCAUCCGGAACUGUCAGGCUAGAGUGCAGGAGAGGAAGGUAGAAUUCCCGGUGUAGCGGUGAAAUGCGUAGAGAUCGGGAGGAAUACCAGUGGCGAAGGCGGCCUUCUGGACUGACACUGACGCUGAGGUGCGAAAGCGUGGGUAGCAAACAGGAUUAGAUACCCCAGUAGU